AACGAACGCUGGCGGCAGGCUUAACACAUGCAAGUCGAACGCCCGUAGCAAUACGGGAGUGGCAGACGGGUGAGUAACGCGUGGGAAUCUCCCCAAAGGUACGGAACAACUCAGGGAAACUUGAGCUAAUACCGUAUGUGCCCGAGAGGGCAAAGAUUCAUCGCCUUUGGAUGAGCCCGCGUUGGAUUAGCUAGUUGGUGGGGUAACGGCCUACCAAGGCGACGAUCCAUAGCUGAUCUGAGAGGAUGAUCAGCCACACUGGGACUGAGACACGGCCCAGACUCCUACGGGAGGCAGCAGUGGGGAAUCUUGGACAAUGGGCGAAAGCCUGAUCCAGCCAUGCCGCGUGAGUGAAGAAGGCCUUAGGGUUGUAAAGCUCUUUUACCCGGGAAGAUAAUGACGGUACCGGGAGAAUAAGCCCCGGCAAACUUCGUGCCAGCAGCCGCGGUAAUACGAAGGGGCUAGCGUUGUUCGGAUUUACUGGGCGUAAAGCGCACGUAGGCGGAUUGGUU
rnacentral:rRNA from 1 species